CGAAGGCUCCAAGGGAAGCCACGGCUAACUCUGUGCCAGCAGCCGCGGUAAUACAGAGGUGGCAAGCGUUGUUCGGAAUUAUUGGGCGUAAAGAGCACGUAGGUGGGUUUGUAAGUCAGAUGUGAAAGCCUUCUGUUCAACGGAAGAAUUGCAUCUGAAACUGCAAACCUUGAGUAUAGGAGGGGAGAAUGGAACUUCUGGUGGAGCGGUGAAAUGCGUAGAUAUCAGAAGGAACGCCGGCGGCGAAAGCGAUUCUCUGGUCUAUUACUGGCACUCAGUGUGCGAAAGCUAGGGGAGCAAACGGGAUUAGAUACCCCGGUAGUCCUAGCUGUAAA
rnacentral:rRNA from 1 species